GACGAACGCUGGCGGCGUGCCUAAUACAUGCAAGUUGAGCGCUGAAGGUUGGUACUUGUACCAACUGGAUGAGCAGCGAACGGGUGAGUAACGCGUGGGGAAUCUGCCUUUGAGCGGGGGACAACAUUUGGAAACGAAUGCUAAUACCGCAUAAAAACUUUAAACACAAGUUUUAAGUUUGAAAGAUGCAAUUGCAUCACUCGAAGAUGAUCCCGCGUUGUAUUAGCUAGUUGGUGAGGUAAAGGCCCACCAAGGCGAUGAUACAUAGCCGACCUGAGAGGGUGAUCGGCCACAUUGGGACUGAGACACGGCCCAAACUCCUACGGGAGGCAGCAGUAGGGAAUCUUCGGCAAUGGACGAAAGUCUGACCGAGCAACGCCGCGUGAGUGAAGAAGGUUUUCGGAUCGUAAAACUCUGUUGGUAGAGAAGAGCGUUGGUGAGAGUGGAAAGCUCAUCAAGUGACGGUAACUACCCAGAAAGGGACGGCUAACUACGUG
rnacentral:rRNA from 1 species